CGCAGGUGAGCUACGCCAUGCCCAUACCCACUCCCGGGCUACAGAAGGAAUUCACUGCGAGUGCCCCUCAUUCACUCGACAUUCACUGACAAGAUGGACUAACAGUACCGUUUACAGAAGGACAAAAACAGCGGUAAACUUCGCCAAGUCCAUCCUGAGAUGCAGACUACAGCAGGAAUUCACGACGCCAAGUUGUGGAAGGAUCGGGGUGUGCAUGCAAGUUUUUCACGCAAGAAAAAUAAGCAUUGAAUGCAGCAGCAUCGUAGCCUGGGUGCCAUCCGAAUUUGUAACGGCUACGGGCAAAUUCGGAUGGCACCCAGGCUAGCAGCACCGUGAAAGCAAAAAAAUCCAAGAAUAAAAAAAGCAAUACUGACACAAACACUCGCACAAAUGAAUAAAAUCCCUUACACAAAACAUCACCAUCAUCACAUAGUUAAGUUAUAAAAAAAUUCCCAGGAAUCAAUCUGACUUGAAGUUUUACCAUGCCCAAUAUAAGGGAAACGUUUGGCUGGAGUUGCAGAAGCCUGUAUCGACAAACAGCUGAGACAUCUUGGUCGUCAUUAAAUCUAGAGAACUUAUUUGAAGUACAUGUAUCGCCAUGUAACCAGUUAACACCAGGUCUCUUAAAACAAGUCCAAACGUCUCAUUUUUUACCUUUAGAAAGUUCGUCCUCAGUCACUAUCAUCACCUUCUGUCCGACAUAUUUGAUCCUGAUAACAUUUACACCUGGCAUACCCUAUGUUCUUAGACUCCGCUAUUUGUUUUCUUAUCAUUAUUAUUAGCGUUGUUAUUGUCACUAUUAUCAUUUGUUCAUUUAUUA